rnacentral:siRNA from 1 species
GGGUGAUUUUGCUAAUGUUAGA